GUCAGGGAUCCUGAAUCAACAGGGUAGGUAAGCUAGGUCAGUUAGGAGUAAUAUCAACGACAGAUUGUGGAUCACAUGGAGGUCGGAGUAUAUCAACGACAGAUGGUGGAUCACUUGGAGGUCGGAGUAUAUCAACGACAGAUGGUGGAUCACAUGGAGUCGGAGUAGUUGCGCAUGGAGGUCGG